AGUUGGGGCUCAGUGGUAGAGCGCAUGCUUUGAAUGUAUGAUGUCCUGGGUUCAAUCCCCAGGUCGGUGU